GGUUAAGCGACUAAGCGUACACGGUGGAUGCCCUGGCAGUCAGAGGCGAUGAAGGACGUGCUAAUCUGCGAUAAGCGUCGGUAAGGUGAUAUGAACCGUUAUAACCGGCGAUUUCCGAAUGGGGAAACCCAGUGUGAUUCGUCACACUAUCAUUAACUGAAUCCAUAGGUUAAUGAGGCGAACCGGGGGAACUGAAACAUCUAAGUACCCCGAGGAAAAGAAAUCAACCGAGAUUCCCCCAGUAGCGGCGAGCGAACGGGGAGCAGCCCAGAGCCUGAAUCAGUGUGUGUGUUAGUGGAAGCGUCUGGAAAGGCGUGCGAUACAGGGUGACAGCCCCGUACACAAAAAUGCACAUGCUGUGAGCUCGAUGAGUAGGGCGGGACACGUGGUAUCCUGUCUGAAUAUGGGGGGACCAUCCUCCAAGGCUAAAUACUCCUGACUGACCGAUAGUGAACCAGUACCGUGAGGGAAAGGCGAAAAGAACCCCGGCGAGGGGAGUGAAAAAGAACCUGAAACCGUGUACGUACAAGCAGUGGGAGCACAGAGCAAUCUGUGUGACUGCGUACCUUUUGUAUAAUGGGUCAGCGACUUAUAUUCUGUAGCAAGGUUAACCGAAUAGGGGAGCCGAAGGGAAACCGAGUCUUAACUGGGCGUUAAGUUGCAGGGUAUAGACCCGAAACCCGGUGAUCUAGCCAUGGGCAGGUUGAAGGUUGGGUAACACUAACUGGAGGACCGAACCGACUAAUGUUGAAAAAUUAGCGGAUGACUUGUGGCUGGGGGUGAAAGGCCAAUCAAACCGGGAGAUAGCUGGUUCUCCCCGAAAGCUAUUUAGGUAGCGCCUCGUGAAUUCAUCUCCGGGGGUAGAGCACUGUUUCGGCAAGGGGGUCAUCCCGACUUACCAACCCGAUGCAAACUGCGAAUACCGGAGAAUGUUAUCACGGGAGACACACGGCGGGUGCUAACGUCCGUCGUGAAGAGGGAAACAACCCAGACCGCCAGCUAAGGUCCCAAAGUCAUGGUUAAGUGGGAAACGAUGUGGGAAGGCCCAGACAGCCAGGAUGUUGGCUUAGAAGCAGCCAUCAUUUAAAGAAAGCGUAAUAGCUCACUGGUCGAGUCGGCCUGCGCGGAAGAUGUAACGGGGCUAAACCAUGCACCGAAGCUGCGGCAGCGACGCUUAUGCGUUGUUGGGUAGGGGAGCGUUCUGUAAGCCUGCGAAGGUGUGCUGUGAGGCAUGCUGGAGGUAUCAGAAGUGCGAAUGCUGACAUAAGUAACGAUAAAGCGGGUGAAAAGCCCGCUCGCCGGAAGACCAAGGGUUCCUGUCCAACGUUAAUCGGGGCAGGGUGAGUCGACCCCUAAGGCGAGGCCGAAAGGCGUAGUCGAUGGGAAACAGGUUAAUAUUCCUGUACUUGGUGUUACUGCGAAGGGGGGACGGAGAAGGCUAUGUUGGCCGGGCGACGGUUGUCCCGGUUUAAGCGUGUAGGCUGGUUUUCCAGGCAAAUCCGGAAAAUCAAGGCUGAGGCGUGAUGACGAGGCACUACGGUGCUGAAGCAACAAAUGCCCUGCUUCCAGGAAAAGCCUCUAAGCAUCAGGUAACAUCAAAUCGUACCCCAAACCGACACAGGUGGUCAGGUAGAGAAUACCAAGGCGCUUGAGAGAACUCGGGUGAAGGAACUAGGCAAAAUGGUGCCGUAACUUCGGGAGAAGGCACGCUGAUAUGUAGGUGAAGUCCCUCGCGGAUGGAGCUGAAAUCAGUCGAAGAUACCAGCUGGCUGCAACUGUUUAUUAAAAACACAGCACUGUGCAAACACGAAAGUGGACGUAUACGGUGUGACGCCUGCCCGGUGCCGGAAGGUUAAUUGAUGGGGUCAGCGCAAGCGAAGCUCUUGAUCGAAGCCCCGGUAAACGGCGGCCGUAACUAUAACGGUCCUAAGGUAGCGAAAUUCCUUGUCGGGUAAGUUCCGACCUGCACGAAUGGCGUAAUGAUGGCCAGGCUGUCUCCACCCGAGACUCAGUGAAAUUGAACUCGCUGUGAAGAUGCAGUGUACCCGCGGCAAGACGGAAAGACCCCGUGAACCUUUACUAUAGCUUGACACUGAACAUUGAGCCUUGAUGUGUAGGAUAGGUGGGAGGCUUGGAAGUGUGGACGCCAGUCUGCAUGGAGCCGACCUUGAAAUACCACCCUUUAAUGUUUGAUGUUCUAACGUUGACCCGUAAUCCGGGUUGCGGACAGUGUCUGGUGGGUAGUUUGACUGGGGCGGUCUCCUCCUAAAGAGUAACGGAGGAGCACGAAGGUUGGCUAAUCCUGGUCGGACAUCAGGAGGUUAGUGCAAUGGCAUAAGCCAGCUUGACUGCGAGCGUGACGGCGCGAGCAGGUGCGAAAGCAGGUCAUAGUGAUCCGGUGGUUCUGAAUGGAAGGGCCAUCGCUCAACGGAUAAAAGGUACUCCGGGGAUAACAGGCUGAUACCGCCCAAGAGUUCAUAUCGACGGCGGUGUUUGGCACCUCGAUGUCGGCUCAUCACAUCCUGGGGCUGAAGUAGGUCCCAAGGGUAUGGCUGUUCGCCAUUUAAAGUGGUACGCGAGCUGGGUUUAGAACGUCGUGAGACAGUUCGGUCCCUAUCUGCCGUGGGCGCUGGAGAACUGAGGGGGGCUGCUCCUAGUACGAGAGGACCGGAGUGGACGCAUCACUGGUGUUCGGGUUGUCAUGCCAAUGGCACUGCCCGGUAGCUAAAUGCGGAAGAGAUAAGUGCUGAAAGCAUCUAAGCACGAAACUUGCCCCGAGAUGAGUUCUCCCUGACUCCUUGAGAGUCCUGAAGGAACGUUGAAGACGACGACGUUGAUAGGCCGGGUGUGUAAGCGCAGCGAUGCGUUGAGCUAACCGGUACUAAUGAACCGUGAGGCUUAACCUU
rnacentral:rRNA from 1 species